rnacentral:rRNA from 1 species
GUGUCAGCAGCCGCGGUAAAACGUAGGUGACAAGCGUUAUCCGGAUUUACUGGGCGUAAAGCGUGUGCAGGCGGGGGGAUAAGUGGUGUAUGAAAUCGCUCGGCUUAACCGGGCGCGGUUAUGCCAGACUGUCCUUCUGGAGCGCGAGAGAGGAGCGUGGAAUUCCGGGUGUAGUGGUGAAAUGCGUAGAGAUCCGGAGGAACCCCAGAGGCGAAGGCGGCGCUCUGGCUCGCGACUGACGCUCAGACACGACAGCAUGGGGAGCGAACGGGAUUAGAUACCCCCGUAGUCC